UACGUAGGGUGCAAGCGUUAAUCGGAAUUACUGGGCGUAAAGCGUGCGCAGGCGGUUUUGUAAGUCUGACGUGAAAUCCCCGGGCUUAACCUGGGAAUUGCGUUGGAGACUGCAAGGCUGGAAUCUGGCAGAGGGGGGUAGAAUUCCACGUGUAGCAGUGAAAUGCGUAGAGAUGUGGAGGAACACCGAUGGCGAAGGCAGCCCCCUGGGCUAAGAUUGACGCUCAUGCACGAAAGCGUGGGGAGCAAACAGG
rnacentral:rRNA from 1 species